GGGAGACAAGGAAAUGCUGUCACCGCCGUUAACACGCACGUGGAGGUUUGUUAAAGUGUCCAUUACAGCUUUGACCUGGCUGGGGCAGCCUUGGAUCAAGGCCUCUCUGUAAUCCUGGUUUCCACCAACAUCAGGAAGGGGAGCUGCAAGAGCCAUCUAGGCAGGCACCCCAGGACUGUGCCAGCUUGAGCCAAAGAGAAUCUGGAAGACAAAUUUGCUGCGAAGAAAUAAUAUACGUUUUAAGACUUAAUGAUGUUGAUCUAUGGAUUUUCCGCUGGUUGAAAUUUUUUCUGUUGCCGUCAUUUUUCUCCACCAACAUAACUGAGAGUUGACAGGACUUUGUCGCUGAAGUUGUCUUUCCACAAAUAAGCAUUGCUUCUGUCCUCCCAAGGCCCUGCUCUUGAACCUCGGAAGCCCUGAUUUGAAGCCCUGCCUCCAUCAGUGUCAAGACAAGGGACCUCAGGGAAGGGACCAAGGAUGUGGCACCUGAGCGGUACGGCCUCAGUUCUUCACCUUUAAGGCUUCCACGAAGCAUAAAACCUGCCUGCAGAGCCAAAUAAAUCCAAGGGUGACAGCACCUCAGUAUUACAAGAGAGUCUUGCUGAAGUUGACCGUCCCAGAGGCAUCUAUUCUAAAUGUUCCCCCUAUCAAGCUAGGCUGCUUCUUCCUAAUUCUGUCCUGUCUUUAACAGUGAUCAGCACAUUUCUCAUUAGGUUUCUUACUUUACAUCAAAUUCUAUGGUUCUGACUGGAAAUUUUUUUCAUUCUUGCUACCAUUCUGAGUAUGUAAUUCUAGAAUAAAAAAUAAACCUUAUUAUUAAAACCUUAUUAUUAAAAAGUACAUACUGCCCCCUACUUAUCCCCCC